UUUUUUUUUUUUUUUUUUUUUUUUGGUAAAUUAUUCUGUAAAAAUGCAUAAGUUGUUCAGUGUUUUAUGAAAUUUUUAGAAUUUAUGGUAUGUUGGGAAACUUCAAUUCUUAUAAGUAUUGUUUCCAUAUAGUAACCUUCUUAAAUGUAAUAUAAUUGAUCAAUCUAUUCCAUCAAACUGCCUUUUCUCUUAAGAUUGCCAAUGUUUUUAAACCGUGACCUUGUUUUAAAAGGAAAUGUUAGUCUGAUUCAGAUGCAUUUGUGAGAAUACAUCGGGUAUAGCUUUGUACAGGCUGAUCUCCACAAUUUUGUGGAAGGAGAAAUAAUAUAUUCAUUUUUGUCUUCCAUAUCAGAUUUAUCCUUUAUAAAGUUCUAAAUCUCUCUCUUAUAAGUGCUCCAAUAAAUUUCUUUUUCACCUUUUAAAAGGUCACAUUGUUAAAAAUCAGGUAAGGUAGAGGAAAUAUUCAUUUAGAAAAUUAGGUUUUUUAGCAUGGGAAGUUAAAAGUCUAUGAUUUUGUAUCAGAUUAGGCUUGUUGAAUUUCUUUGCCAGUAAGGCUCCAAUAGUCAAACUUCAGAUCACAAGUGAAUGAUUUUUUUUUCCCACUAAUACUUUAGUUUAGUUUAGUUUAACUAAUAGUUUAGUUUAAUGCAUUUGUCAAUAUUGGCUUAACCUUCUGUUAUAUUUAAUAGGUUUACCUUGAUGGGAAUGGAUUGGACAAUUGAUAUUUCAAAUGAUUUUUUCUGGUUUUUUUUUGUUUUUGUUUUUGUUGUUGUUGUUGUUGUUGUUAUUGUUGAUUCAUGAGGUAUAUUUUUUUAACAAUUUUUAAGCCUGAAUUUUGAAUCACUCUUUCUGGUGCCUGACCUUGUAAUUCAUUUAUUUAGGUUUUUAGGUGAUUAGAAUUUUAAUUUUUUUUUGGGGGGGGGGCGGGGUAAAGAACCUUUAUGUGUUUUCUUUAUGGAUACUUCUCAGUAUAAUCAUUGAGGAAAAAGGCUUGGUCAACUUGUAGUAGCCGUGUUUUUGUCAACCAUUCCCCAAAGUAUUAGUCUUUAACUGAGGUGGUGUUUUUUUUUUUUUUUAAUCAUUUUUUCAAAGUAACAAAAAUGAACAAUUAUAUAACUAAAACAUAUAUUUCACCUGAAAAAACGAACACUAGUACUCUUGAUAUUAAUCGUCAUGGAUUGUUGUGGCAUUCCAUCUUCUCCCUUUUUAAAAGGCAUUUAUCUUCUCCAUAAUACAGUUUUACAGAAAUAUAAGCUUACCUGCAAAAUCAAUUCAUAUUUUUUAAGAUAAUGAAAAUAUAAAAACAUUUGAAAAUUUACCCAGAAAUUCUGGGCCCAGCAAUUGGCUGAGUAUUAUCAUCUUUCUGAAGUAUUAAAUUAUUGUGUGUGUGUGUGUGUGUGUGUAUCUUAAUGUUUUACAAUUAAUGUUUGUAGAUUACUUGUUUAGAAAAGUUAAUUUGAGCUUAUAUGAAAUUGUUAUCCCAUGGUUAAAGUACUUGUUUUUAAAUUUUGGAUUUUACUAAGUGUGGGGGAAAUGGGACAAAAGCAGAACUAUCUUUACUUAAGACUUCUGUUAGAUUUAUAUCUCAGGUUAAUGUAGACCAAAAGGUGAUUAUUAUAUUUGUGACUCCUAAAUUCCACUAUAAUGCCAUAUAAGUCUUCAUUUUACAAUUUUUUUCUAUAAGUUAGGGAUUUUUAAUGGCCUAAUGUGGUUCUAUUCUCUUCCUAAGAUGAUGGUAAAAUAAGAAAAUAUGGAUGACGUUUCCUAAAAUUUGUUCCAUUUGUAAUUCAGGAGAAAAGAUGUGAUCAGAAUAGGAAUGCUGAAUUCAAGAUAUCUUUUCUGCUGGACCAGUGAUAAAAUUCCAAUGAUCAUUGGCAGAAGGCUCAGGAUUUCUUGUGGCACACACAUGGUGAGAUGGAUGGAUGCUGUUACUGGAAUGCAUCUUCAAAAUUUCUAAAGACUGUGAUUUCAACCAUUUGGUAAUUCCUCUCUAUAUGCAUAUUGAUUCUUUUUCAUGCCCUAGAUUAUAUAUUUUUUUCCCAUGAGUUCCCAUGGUCAGAGAAUUCAUUAUCUGGUUGUCAAGCUUUUGGUGCUGAGCCUCUUUGGGUUUUGUUAACUGGUCUUUUCACACUCUUUGGUCAGACCUGUGUUUUAUUAACUUUCUGAUUUGGCUAGUACCUGGCAUAAUCAUUAAGAUCUGAGUUUUCUGCCAUUUCUAAAGGACCUAAAGAUUGUCUGGUCCAACUUUUGGGCAGAGAUGUAUUGUUCCCCAUUCGAUAGCUGAAGAUCAAGGUGGUGGCUUGCCCAAGGUUGCAAGGGAUAUAAGGAGAAGGGAAUUUGGAAAUUGAUCAGGAUGGUAUGGAACCUGCAUCGCUGCUUCUCAGUGCAUCUCUGCUUCUCAGUGCUAUCUUCAGCUGCAUCUACUGCUUUUCCAACAUCAAUACUAGCUUCUUACAUAUGUGCUUUUAGAAGAUUUUUCCUUAUAUCCUUGUUAAUAGAGGAAGGCAAGAGAGAGCAUUUUGUUCUCAUCAGCAGGCAGGUAAAUUUUUGGUUAAAAAAAUUUUUUUAAAUUUUUUGAAAAUCUUAAAUUAUAUUUAUUAUAGAGUUCAGUUUUGGGGGCAUAUGAGGGUAUAUCCAGAAAUGACUAUGAUAUGAAACAAAAGAUCAAUAAAAACUUAAAAUCAAUUUAAAAGGAAAUAAUUGUAGCCAAUAUUGCCUAUUUGCUAUUCUGAUUUACUUGUCAGAUGUCUUAGUUAGAUUAAUUAGAUGUUUUAAUUCAUUCUCGUGAAUAUUUGUGAAUUUAUAAUAAUUACUUAACCAUUUUCCCCAUAACUAAGAUCUUUGACAAUGGAGCAUUAGCAAUAUAAACCCAACAUCUAAAAGUACCCUGUACUAUUUGGAAGUUUGUCCUGAGCUAGAUAUUUUCUCAAAAAUUGGAAAAAGAGCACAGAAAUUGUGAAAGGUCCAGAGUAGGCAAUAAUGUUGCUAAAAGCAGAUUCCAAAUAGAAACUUGGGCAGAGAUUAUUAACUUAGAAAACCACAAUAUUUUAUUUAUAUUUUAUUAAACAUUUCCCAGUUAGCAUUUAAUGUAGUUUAGUUCUGAAAUGGCCCUACCAGGAUGUGAGAAAUUCAGUAAGUUACCAUGAUUUGCAGAGAAUUAUAUAUUGUAAGCCAGAGGAAGGACUUCAACCUGGCCAAAUUUCUUGCUUUGACUAACUGUAAUCAUUAUGCAAAACUGCCUCUAGGAAUAGGAAUAAAGCUUUUCUUCCAUGUGUAAUGUGGGCCUAUCACAUGGUACCUGUUUUAGAACAAUGUUUUAAGAAUUAAAAUAUUGACAGUUAAUUCCUUUUGAAAUUUCUGUGUUAAAAGGUGAAGUUUAAAGAAUUUUCGCAUUAUGGGAUAAAACAUAGUUUUGAAUUUUAUAUUACUAAUCUUGAGAUUAGCCCUUCAUUCAAUAAUAGUGUGACCAUAGUAUGACUAUUUAUUGGAAGUAGACCAUUGCUUCUCUCAAUUAAUGAAGUAUGUAAGUGCCCGUGUGCCAGACAUUGAAAAUACAAGAGAAAAGUGAUUCAAUACCUGUCCUCAAGAAGCUAAGGUACUUCCAUUUGGGAUUAGGGAAGUAAGGUUGUGAGUAAAAACAAGUUCCUUUAUUUCCCUUUUUCUCCUUUCUCCCUAUAUACAAAUUCUUAUCUCGGUACUUUGAGAGGCAAUUUAUCCAUUUAACAAUUAUUAUAUAUACAAGGUAUAUAUAGACAUAUAUUAACCGAGAUUUUUCUUUUCUUUUUCAGGUUGGAAAUAGACUCAUAGGUCCACAUUCUUCUGUGUUAAUCUUUAACAGUUCUUUGGGCAAAGUGAUCUUGAAUGUAAAUUUCAUUUAUGUUGAAUUAUCAAUAAUAGAAAAAUCCAAAAUAUUAACAUUUAUUAAAAUGCAAUUCAGGCUUUUAUGGUGAAAUAUUCAAACAGUGUUAGUGUUAGUUUUUUGUUUGAGUAUUCAAACUACUCUGAAUAAAAUUCUGGCUUUUGCUUUUGUCAUCAGAUCUUAAUUUUGGUGAAGUUCUCCCCAUUUCCUAUGAGUUGCUUCCCUCCUUCCAUAUAGGUCUGGAGAGUUGGACACUGUCUUUUUAUUCAUCUUGGCAGCAUAGAAACUGCCCUUUUAUCUCCAAACAUGGAUAAACUUUCUGAAAAAAUUGUUCAGAGUAAGUAUCCUUUCCCUUAUUCCUAUUCCUGCAAACUUCUUUAUGCUGGUUGGAAACCAUUAAUAUCGCCUGCUUUCCAUUGAUUUUUGGACCACUUAUAAAUCUAAUUCUGGAGAAUGAUUGUGGUAGUAUAACACUGAAGGCGCAUCCUUCAGUUUAUUUGUAUGCAUAAAAAGGCUAUAUACCAAGUCUGAAAGCAAAAUUUCUUGCUUCAUUGUUUUUUUUUUUUUUAAACGUUUUUUGUGAUCAUAUAUCUUAUGAGCUAUAUAAGAAAUUUUUUUUCUUUUUCAUCAAGGGGCCCAGAUCAAAGCUGGUCUUUUUUGGUUUCAUUCUCUUAAGUCCUGUUUGUAACCUUAGGAUCACAGACAAAGAUCAGAUUUUACCUGGGCUAUUCACAAAUAGUGGGAAAGUUCAAAAUCUUUUGUCAGUUGCCUAGGGUGAAUGGGUGUAAUGAUUGUGGGUGUUUUCAUGUUUAGAAUUCCCUAAACUGUUCAAACCAAAGUUAUCACUUAUUUAAAUGGGUUUUCUACAAAUUUAUAUUUCGAUGCGUUAUUGUAAUGAGAAAGUUAUUAAAAACUGAAAUGAUUACCCUCAUUUGUUAUGUGCCUUUUUCUGCUGUCAGUUGACAACUAUGGAUGUAAAAUUCCAUGUUUUCCAGCUCAGGAUGGAAACUGCAAAUUGUGAAACAAUUGUGCACAAGAAUCUACAUAAUUCAUUGAAGAAAUCAAUUUUUCAAAAGCCUAGGAAGAAUUUCCAGGGAGCAACUGGGAAAUAAUGUUUUUAUUGAACUUCACUUUACAGAUGAGUAAACUUCAUCAAAGUCAACACAUAUAUCUUCAGUGUAUCAUAUGAACCAUAAAUCACCUCUGUAGACCUAAACUGCAAUGUAUGUUACUAAUAAAAUCAUGGAUCAAGUCCUUUCUUUCCCUUAUGUCUAUCUGUCCUCCCCUUCCUUGGGAAUAUGGGAAUUUUAUUUUUGUGUUUGUGUUGUUGCCCAUUUAACUGAAUUAGAAUGAAGUCAGAAUAUGGUGAAUACAGUGCAGUAGAAAGAUGCAGCCAUUUCUGGCAGGUAUGAGAGGAAGAAUUGUUUUUAAGCUGUCAAUUCAAAUUAAUUAGCAUUCUAGACUUAAAUUCAAAUGAGCAAAAUCUUGUAGAAUGAACAAAAUGGUUAGAAAUGUGCACAAAAUUAGUUAA